rnacentral:lncRNA from 1 species
AAGAAUAACCUCAUAUAAAAUUGAUUAUUCUGUUCUUUAACCUAUGUCAGCCGCUGCACCGAAACCCUAAAGAAGGAGAGCCUGCGUCUUCCCGCUAACCACCAUGGUUGGAUCUCCAUUUCUGCAAUUCCAGAAACUUCUUCUUCCUUUUUGUUUUUCUNAUAUUUGGAUGUCAUUUUCUUCCAGACAUUCAAGCGCAGGAAUGGAGGCCGCAACAAGCACGGCCGCGGCCACGUCAAAUUCAUNNNNN